AGCGAACGCUGGCGGCAGGCCUAACACAUGCAAGUCGAACGAACCUUUCGGGGUUAGUGGCGGACGGGUGAGUAACACGUGGGAACGUGCCUUUAGGUUCGGAAUAACUCAGGGAAACUUGUGCUAAUACCGAAUGUGCCCUUCGGGGGAAAGAUUAAUCGCCUUUAGAGCGGCCCGCGUCUGAUUAGCUAGUUGGUUGAGGUAAUGGCUCACCAAGGCGACGAUCAGUAGCUGGUCUGAGAGGAUGAUCAGCCACAUUGGGACUGAGACACGGCCCAAACUCCUACGGGAGGCAGCAGUGGGGAAUCUUGCGCAAUGGGCGAAAGCCUGACGCAGCCAUGCCGCGUGAAUGAUGAAGGUCUUAGGAUUGUAAAAUUCUUUCGCCGGGGACGAUAAUGACGGUAUCCGGAGAAGAAGCCCCGGCUAACUUCG
rnacentral:rRNA from 1 species